AAGUCGUAACAAGGUAACCGUAGGUGAACCUGCGGUUGGAUCAUUAUUGAAAUAAUGUAAAAAUUCAAUUGUGGGGUGUAGUAAUGAAUUGUUAAUGAUUUUUUACCACCCUAUAUUUGAAACAACAAAAUCCUUGUGAAUUAUUUUAGAGUCUUUGGAGUGACUUGUCGAAUCUAUCUUAUAGAUGAGAAGAGAGAACUCCUACUUUUAUAAAAACAUUGAUUACCACCUAAUUGAGCCUUAAAAAGAUUUUCAAAAAUCAAAAAAAAAACUUUUGACAAUGGAUCUCUUGGCUCUC
rnacentral:misc_RNA from 1 species